CCUUGCUCUAUCUUUUGGACGACACGAUAAAAAAUAACCCUGUAUUUAUGCAAAUUGCAAAGUAGCGUGUGAUAAUGAAAACAAAACAGGGCUGGCCCGCAGCCAAGACAUGGCGUUGACGGGGGCUCCCGACCAUGUGGCUCCGAUUCUUCAGGGAAAGCAGCUGUAGAGAGAUGAGACUCCACACAGCACCCUCCUCACGGCGCGCACACCCACAUCGGCAUGCAUUCCGGUACCAGUCACCUUGGAGCUGGCCAAACUUGGGGAUCCAAAAAGCGGUCCUGCUUCCUAGCGGGUGUUGAGCUCUGCAGCGUCGUCCCCCACGAACCUCCCUGCCCCCUGCUCCUGAUUCCCUUUCAGGAAUUUACAAACAUUUUUCCCUAGAUCAAUAUCCGUAUUGAUUAUUCAUUGUGAGCGAGUCGUGUGUCUUUGGUGAUCCAGCUUGCAGAGGGUAGCAGCUAAAGACGGCUGCAGGGGGAGAAAAAUAACAGAAGGUGAGAAGGACCCAGCUCUGGCUGAGGUCUGCGGCUGUCACAUCACAGAGAGGAGGAGGAAGAAGAAGAGAAUGGUCCAGAAUGAAAGGAUGGAGAAGGGUGUAAAAGAAAGAGGACGCAACUGCAAGAAAGAAAGAUGUGAGGACUGCAUUGGUCUUAGGGAUCUCAAUGGCUUGGAGGAAAGCCCCAUCAACUUGGGUCUGCUGCUAGGUGCAAAAUGCCGAGCUGUUCCUCUGCUCUGGGAGUGAAAAGUGACUCACGGUUUUGGUGUCUUCCUACGUAAGAGCUUUUGGUGGGGGGAUUCCUUGGCUUGCUGACAGACAAGGAAGGACGCAGCAGCAGUGAGGUAAAAGAAGAGGAAGGAAAAAAAAAAAAAAAAAAGCAACCCAGUCCUUUCCAACCGCCUUGCCGACGAUGCGCACCCGUUCGGUUUGAUUUGAACAGCUUGCUGCUCUAAAUGGCAUGCGGAAGGAGGAUAAUUAAAAAGGCCAGCAUCACUUACUAAGGUCUCUCACUGAAUCUAAAGCCUGUUGAUUUGAGCAGACUGGCUGACUAGGAAGCUCCCAGGAUCUGUGUGUCUAUACCUUUCAAUGCUGGGACUAUAGAUGUUUGGUAUGUCCAGUUUUUUCAAGGAUGUUGGAAAUUUGAACUCAGGUCCUCAUGUUUGUACAGCAAACACUUACUUUACCAAGCCAUCUUCCCAGACUCCAGGGCUCCAUUUAAGUAAAAAGUCUGAAUGGUGCUAAUGGCUAUAGGCUCUGGGAGAUUCACUGCGUGGUAGGAAGCUGCUCUUCAUGGAGAGAAAGGCUGUGAAACAAGAUGCGGGCUCUUUGAUCUUGGUUCUCACAGAGGCUCCCUUGGCCCUUCUGUCCCCUAUGGGGAAUGGGUAGAUACAGUGUUGCUUCAAUGCAAUUGGCAGAAGAGGAUCUGCCUGGCUGUUUCUGGAAACUAGCACUUACUUCUUUAAAGGGUCCACGAGACUAUCUGAACUCACAAGGGAGAGCCAAAGUGCUGGAGGUACCCACAGAAUUCUGGGAAGUGUUACAUGUCAUACCAAGAGAGCACGAACAUUCACUAGUAGCACACUCAAGGAUUCCCAGCACCCUGGGCAUGGCUGAAUGGCUGUAGAAAGACGUGCUAGGGAUUCCUUCAAGUCCUGUUGGUACUCAGCUGUGGAGACUGCUGUGGUCCUUCCUUCUCAAGACCUGGUGUUCGGAGGAACAAGAUUUGAAUAACAGAGGGCUUCUCAGCUACAGACCUUGGAUGGCUGUGUUCCCAGAUGUGACCUUUUCAAGUGAAUUUAGAGCUGUGAACCCAGGAUCAAGAUAAGGAGUCUACGAGUGAAGCCAGGAUCAAGACAAGGAGUCUACAAGUGAUAAACUCUGAAUCCAGGAUCCAGGGUAGUACCCACUGGGGCCUAAGGUGCUGGGUGGACCUGGUUAUGAGCACAGCUUCACCAUACCCCAUUUGGAAGCAGGCUUUAUCCUAGCUGAAAGGAUGUCACAAUGAAUGUUAAUGCCACACCAUUUAUUAGAAAAGCAGGGACACUAUAACUACGUGUCUUCCUUCUAAAUACCCCUGUCUUGAUGAAAGUCUACUUAUUUAGAUUUGACAUUCUUGAAAUAAGCAAUAAAGUGAGGUUUGCCUUCUCACUCUUAAAUCUUGCAAUUGACUUCAGUUCCUACACAAUUAAAUUCCACAGAAACUAGCAAUUCUAAAAUGCUUAGCUGUUUUAGACUGGAUGAGAAACCAGGUGUUUUAG
rnacentral:lncRNA from 1 species